UAGGGAAUCUUCGGCAAUGGACGAAAGUCUGACCGAGCAACGCCGCGUGAGUGAAGAAGGUUUUCGGAUCGCAAAACUCUGUUGUUAGAGAAGAACAAGGACGUUAGUAACUGAACGUCCCCUGACGGUAUCUAACCAGAAAGCCACGGCUAACUACGUGCCAGCAGCCGCGGUAAUACGUAGGUGGCAAGCGUUGUCCGGAUUUAUUGGGCGUAAAGCGAGCGCAGGCGGUUUCUUAAGUCUGAUGUGAAAGCCCCCGGCUCAACCGGGGAGGGUCAGUGGAAACUGGGGGACUUGAGUGCAGAAGAGGAGAGUGGAAUUCCAUGUGUAGCGGUGAAAUACGUAGAUAUAUGGAGAAACACCAGUGGCGAAGGCGGCUCUCUGGUCUGUAACUGACGCUGAGGCUCGAAAGCGUGGGGAGCAAACAGG
rnacentral:rRNA from 1 species